rnacentral:lncRNA from 1 species
AGCUAAGUAGGUGGUUUUUCUAGUAUCAGUGCUACGCAAUUUUGCUGUCACGUGUCCCAUUGCUCCUUAGAUGUUCCCAUUCACCCAGCGGUAAUGUAGACAUGGCGUCUGAAAGGUACCUGAAAGGUCUUCACGAAGGAGGCUUGUUCCUACAAAGAAAGCUCAGAGUGUGUUCACAAAUAGUGACAAUAUUAGUUGCAUGUUGUCCUGGAUAUCACUCGCCAGGGAUUCUGCACACAUUUCAUUUUUAGGACGGGAAAUUUCUAUUUAGUCUAUGGCUUGGCAUGUGAAUGUGAGCCAGUUUCUUAUUCAGAAGCUGAUGAUGGUAUAUUUUUCUAUCUUGAUUAUUUUCUUGGAUUUCUGGCCAUCCUGUUUAGGUGACUGCUUAGCUGCCAGUGAGUCUCCUCAACAUCCAGACCAUGCAGGGACAGCUGUGUUCCAUAAAAGCCUGUCUGGGGAGGAGAGAGCAAGAGAGAACACAAGCAGUGGGACUGGCAAGCAGAGGCAGAGGGAGAAGCGGCUUCCCACCGAGCAAGGAACCCAAUACAGGACUUGAUCCCAGGACCCUGAGAUCAUGACCUAAGUCAAAGGCAGAUUCUUAAGGAACUGAGCCACCCAGGUGUCCCUCCAGUUAUACUCGUGAGUCCUGCAACCCUUACUCCUGGGCCUGUCUGCUCACAUUUGACCCAGCACUAUCCAAGUGACCAGAGUUAAGUGACCUGGCUUAGUAGUGACCUUUCAACAAGGAAAAGAAGUUAUGUGAUCUUAGCCUGAAAAUAUCUUACUAUUCACUCAGAAAAUACUGUUACAUGCCUUUGGUUCUGGUAAUGUAGUUUCUUUUCUAAAGAGGAAUUUCUCUUCCUGAAAAAAGUUAGUCAUUUUUAUGUUCUGCCUUCUUACGUUUUGUCAUUGAAGAUUCCAUUUCACGAGUUGUAAUAUAGAACACGGGCAGAAUAAAUUCUGGUCUUAUACAGAGAAAGACUUAGGGAAACCUCACUUUUCAAAGGUCACUGCUGGCUGUCCAUGACACGUUAAUAACUUCACCCCCCACUUAGUAUUGCCUAUGCGUUGUGUGGGGGGAUGAGAAAAUGGGAUGUCACAUUAGUCUGUUUGCCGGUAUACACACAGCAUCCACAAACAUAUAUAAUAUUUAUGUUUGUAAUGAAUUUACCUCUGUAAAGAAACUGUAAUAGAGAGAAGAGAUGUAACAAAAUAUGUUAAAACUACUUUGGGAGCUGAUACAGAGCCCAGGAAAAUUUUUCUAUAAUAGUAUAAGUAAAAGCCAUCUAUUAGGGUAAAUUGCCCAGAGCAGAGAGAAGAUAGUGGUUUGUCUUGAGAACAUAUGACAAAGAUAGGACGAAUUCCUGAA